GGCUCUUUGAAAAUUGUGUANAAAGAGUCUGNCCUGCCCGGUGAAGAUUUUUAACGGCCGCAGUACUCUGACUGUGCAAAGGUAGCAUAAUAAUUUGUCCUAUAAUUGGGGACUGGAAUGAAUGGUUUGACAAGAGUAUAACUGUCUCUUUCUAAAUUUAUAGAAUUUUAUUUUUAGAUGAAGAAGUUUAAAUAUAAUUAGAAGACGAGAAGACCCCAUCGAGCUUGAGGGAAGUUAAUUGUUUAAGUUUUAUAUUUUUAUAAAAAUUUACUAUUAAAUAUUUUGGUUGGGGCGACUAAGGAACAAGAAAAGCUUCUUAAUAAGAAAUUACUUACGAGUAUUGAUCCAUGUUUUGUGAUUAAAGGAAUUAGUUACCGUGGGGAUAACAGCAUAAUCUUUUUUGAGAGUUCUCAUCGAAAAGAAGGUUUGUGACCUCGAUGUUGGACCAGAAUAUCCGGAAGGUGCAGAAGCCUUCAAAGGUUGGUCUGUUCGACCAUUAAAAUUCU
rnacentral:rRNA from 1 species